rnacentral:rRNA from 1 species
UGUGUAGGCGGAAGCUUAAGCGUUUUGUGAAAUCCCUCGGCUUAACCGAGGAAUAGCUUGACGAACUGGGCUUCUUGAGGCAGGUAGGGUGCGCAGAACUCUUGGUGGAGCGGUGGAAUGCGUAGAUAUCAAGAGGAAUGCCGGUGGAGAAGUCGGUGCACUGGGCCUGUCCUGACGCUGAGACACGAAAGCGUGGGGAGCGAACG